AAAUUAUGAGUUUUCACUGUUGACCUUGCACAGAGCAGGUGCACAGUCAAUAGCUACUGAAUACAUUUAUCUACCACUGCAAAGUCAGUUUCCUUGGGGGUAGGACAGGGAUAAAGACUCUAGUAUCUUGUACAUGUCCGACCCCAAGAACCCACUGUGUGUGGUUCUGUGUUAUGUUUUGCCUAAGGAAAUCUCCAUUAUCAUACCAAAUGGUACCAAUGUUAAAAUAUUUACCAGGUCUCCAAAUUUUCAGAUUUCUUCAUCUUAACAGAAAUUCUACUUUUAACAUGAUUGAAAUGAAAAUGUCUUUCCCUAGAUCUGAAAGUGAUGUUAAGGUUAAGGUUAUUUAAAGUAAAAAAAGGAAAGCAACCUUAAAGAAACAUUUAAGACCAAAUCUAAUGCUGAUAAAACCAGCAAUAUCAGAAGGCACAUUUGCUAUUAAUUUGAUGAUGUUAAUCAUGGAAGUGAAAUAUGAGAUGCUGACAUUAAAAAUAUGGAGUUGGAAGAAAUAUUAAGUUAUGUAUUUUAUUACUAAAUAAUAGAAACACAAGAGGAAAACAAAAAUCUUUUCAAAUAUCAUCCAACUUCUUAGUACAAUAAAAAUUUCUCAUAUGGCAGAAUUUCCUCUCUAAACUGAGAAAUUCUCUUGUAACUAAAACUGUCAUGAAGUUGCCACAUUAGACUAAUGACCUUUAGUUAUAAUUGGAAUAAUUGAAUUUUAGAUUGUCAAGAAAACGGAACUGAAAUUCAUAAAAUUUGCCAAGAGAAUAGCUCUUUGAUACGCAUUUGACAAUCUGAAAAAUAUGACAGCUUAAAAAAAUGAACCUGCUAUUGCAUUAUCCAAGGGCAAAGCAAGCACUUGAAUAUUCUUUUUAAAAGCAUUUCCUCCAUCAUGAUCUGAGGAUUAAAAAAUAGCUCAACCAUUUUUGUCGAAGUUGCAAUACAUUUGCUUUAAGUCUUUUUUGGAGUAACAUUUUAUCAGGGAAAAUAUUUACAUGAAUCCUGUACCCAAUGUAAGGAUCAUUUAUAGCUAUCUUAUUUUAAUCACAUCUGUGAUAUACUCACACACAAUCUCCAGUUAUGCAGAGUAUGGAAGAAAUAGGCAAAUUAUUUAAUGGGAUGAAAAUUAUACUGUAUAGGAAUUAAAUAUUUUGAAUUUCUGUGGAUUAAGAAGAAUGAAUUUGUUCCUGAAUAUUCCUAAAUUUAUUCCACAUUGAAAAUUGUUGACACUGCAGUUGAAUAUUGACAGAAGUAGGGCUGAUCAAUGUUGAACCUUCAGGGUCAAAGGACUUCAUGUUUGGUGUAAUAAGCAACUUAGUAUAGGUAUUACAGUAUUUCAGUAAAGUAACAAUUAUUAAGGGUCAGGCAAGGUUUCUGUUAUAAACUCUAAUUCAGGGAGGCUUGGGGAGGCAUACUUUCAGUCUCCAAAGGCAUAUGAUAGAUGAUUGAAGCAAGAUGAUGGUUUGGAAAUAAACAAAGAAAGUGAGUCAUUAUACUCAAAGUUGAGGAAUUAUUUCCAUUCUCCAGAUUCAAACCCCAUCUUUUCUUAACAUCUCCACAGACCUUUUAUGAAAUCUUUAAACCCAGGAAGCUUUAGAUGAGAGGUAAAUCUCUUUUGAGUUUUUAAGUGGCUUGAAAUCUUUACUUUUGAAAAUUAUCUAGCACAUUCAAGUAGGCUAUAAAUUGUAAACACAACCAAAGGGAGCUCUGUAUCUAUUCAACCAGAUAUGGUUCAAUGAAAUCUCAGAAACACCACACUUUCCACUUAGUUGUGUGUGGAACGUUAGUAGCACAUGGAAAUCAUUAUUUUUUAUUCAAACAUGCUUGAUCAUAUUGCUUAAGGCUUCGUUUUUCACCAAAUCUCACUUUUUAUGUAACUACAAAAUAGUGUUUUAAUUAUUUACUUUAAAAUAUGUGUUGGACAUACUGUGAUUUCAACUUGAAAAAAGCAAACAGUAAUGUAAAUAUAAAAUAUAACAAAUACUUUAUAAUAAUAAAAUAGUGAUGAAAUAGAUAAUUAUGUAGACGUAUAUAUUGCUUGGCCUAGAAUUCAACAGCAUAAUUUAAAAAAAUAAUAAUUAAGGAAUACAUUAACAUAAAAUUUUAAAAAUUAAAAUGUAGAAGUUUGAUAAUGUGGAAUUUGGGUUUGAAAGAAAGGAUAGCAUAUCUGAACAGAGGAGGAGGGGCUAAGGUACUAACUCCAGUACCUUCUGCCUGUUCUAAGCCCCAUAUAGUCACAACUUCUGAAUCUUCAAAUCCUUCCUGGGUAGACACUAAGUGGUCUGCCCUCCUGCGACCUUUCUUCUAGAAUUCAGAAUGUAUAGAUACAUUCAUACAAUAGAAGUGGGCAUUGAUCACUCAAGGAAGAAACUGUGCACUUUCAGUUUCCAUUACAUUAAACAAAAUACUCAUUAGUGCUUGGCAUUUUCCCAAGCAGACACAAUCUAGGUGUCCACUGAGGCCUCAUUCUGCAGUUAAGAAGUUUAAAAAGACCUUUAGACAUCAGCUAGGGACAAUUAAGGGGUGGGUAAAACUCCUUCAGGGUAAGAAGCCUGGAAUUACUGGAAACAAACACACAGAAUAUCAACUGCAAACUAGACAAACUAUCUCUAAGAUCAGUUAGCUAUUUAAGGAGAGAAAGACUAAAGAUCUCUCUGCUUAAUCAUCAUUACCUUUCUUUAAAAAACUGCGAUAUGCUUUACUCUGGGAGUAUUCAGUCAUAUUAAACCAAAACCACAUCUAGAUAUGUGGUAGAAAAAAUAAUCUGAUGGAAACCUGUCAUCACAACGUAAUUAUUCCUAUCAUUUACCCAUCCAGAAACUAAGUCUCUAUAUACUAAGAGGUCAUAAUAAUGUGGGUUUGGUCUGAAAUCCAUUAAAACUGUUGAAACAUGUUUUAUUGCUAAAUAGCCACUUUCAUAUCCAAAGCAGCUUCUAGAAAAUACUAGAGAGCAACUACUUGCAUGCAGGUCAGACUUACAGAAGUAUUUUCCAAAGUGUUUCUUUCUUUCUUUCUCCCUCCAUUCCCUUGCAUCCAUCCAUUCAUCCUCCAUCCCCCAAUCCUUUCAUCCAGCAAGCAUUUAUUAAGUACUACCUGCCAGGUACUGUGCCAAGUUCAGGGGCUACAAUACAAAGCCAGUCAAUGCUUAGGUGUACAUGAAGUUACAGGCUAGCUUCUGAAGUAAAUGAUUUUGUGUGAUCUAUGUUGUUGUCAGUAUUUAAAGUAACCAUAUUUGAGAAAUCCUCAUGGAAGACAAGUACUUCAAAAAUUUUUGUAGGCCAAACUUCAAAUUUAAUUCAUGUCACUUGUUCCUCACCCUCUGGGUGGGAGAAUGGGAAGAAAAGUUUUUCAUGGUACAAUUUCUCUUAUUUGGAGGAGACAUUUGUCUUUCUACUUUGGCUGAGAUAGUCUAAUCUACCCGAAAGUUUUGGGAAUAAAUGUUAAAUAUACACUCUUUCUCCAAAGGAUGCUGUGUUAUCUAGCCACGAGGAAUGUAUGAAAGAAUAGCAAAAGGAAAGAAUGUAUGCUUCACGUGGAACAUGCAAACCUCCGUAGUUUUGCAACUAGAUGGCAGGAACAUCAUCUAUUUCAUUUAUUUGCACAGCAGAUAGAAUACUAGCAUGGGCUUUGUGGGCUGUGCUGUCUCUGUUGCUGCUACUCAACUGUGUCAUUGUGGGGUGAAAGAAGCCAUAGACAAUAUGUAAAUUAAUAUGUAUAGCUGAGAUUCAAUAAAACUUCAUUUAUAAAAACAGGCUGCUGGUCAAAGUUGGCUGUGGGUCAUAGAUUGCUUACCCUUGUUUUAUAAUGUGUGAGAUACUAAGGAAAAUUCAACUGGAAAUGUGCUACACAUAGUUGAUGCACAGGAAUGGGGCUUCAUGACAAGUCAGGGUUGGAGAUGUGGAUUGGAAUUUAGAUAAAUAUUCUUGAAGAGAGCCUAGGAUACUACUGUUAUAUCUUCCUAAGUUUGCUUUUACUUUGUUAUUUCUUUCUUUUUUUUUUUUUUUUUUUGUCUUUUUU